GUCGAGAAUCUUUCGCAAUGGGCGAAAGCCUGACGAAGCGACGCUGUGUGAACGAUGAAGGCCUUCGGGUUGUAAAGUUCUUUCGCAUAAGAGCAAGAGAGAUAGGUGAAUAACCUAUUGAUUUGAGAGUACUAUGUAAAGAAGCACCGGCUAACUCCGUGCCAGCAGCUGCGGUAAUACGGAGGGUGCAAGCAUUAAUCGGAUUUAUUGGGCGUAAAGGGCGCGUAGGCGGAUUUGUCAGUCAGGUGUGAAAUUCCGGAGCUCAACUUCGGAGCUGCAUUUGAAACAGCAAGUCUUGAGGGUAGGCGGAGAAAAUGGAAUUCCACGUGUAGCGGUGAAAUGCGUAGAUAUGUGGAAGAACACCGGUGGCGAAAGCGAUUUUCUAGCUUAUACCUGACGCUGAGGCGCGAGAGCAAGGGGAGCAAACAGGAUUAGAUACCCUGGUAGUCC
rnacentral:rRNA from 1 species